rnacentral:lncRNA from 1 species
UAAAACUCCUGGGAACGGCAAAGUUACGCGAAGGAUUUUCAAUUACUUUCGAGAAACGCGUUUAAAAGCUACCUUUGUAGGUAACGCAUGCUCGCCCGUUAAAAUUGGAGGCAAAAGAUUCUAGAGAGGUUGCGGUAUCUCCGAGAUAUUCCGUCGCGUGGAAUCCGAGGAAAAAUUUAACGCGAGGUCGCAGGCAGCAGCGGGGCGAAGCGAAGCAAAAAUCGAGCUUCGAAAUAGUCGGAUCAGGGUGUCAGGAGUGCAAGAGUUGCCGGGAUUAAACGCGAUUAAUCAUCGCGGUCUCUGAAAACAGAUGGACGAUGUGGCUGCGAACAGAAGAAGAAAAAAAAGAAACGGUGCUGGCAUUUUCGGUGAUUUUACAGAAGCCGGAGCAGCCUCGACAUGUCCCGGAAUCGUUGGGCGGAAUUUAUGGACCGCCUAGUUCCUGGCCCAGAAAACAACUACCGCGAAAAUAACGCCGAAGCUUCGUUGGUCUUUCCUUUUCUCGAGAUCUCGUAAUUUCGUCAGAUGGACUUGAUGGAGCGAGAACUUCCAUCGUUCGUGCAGUCACCAACAUCGCCGACAGGCAUCGUGUACUUCGGGAAGCAAAGUACGGGUAGGUACAUAUUCGCAGGACAAAAGGAGACGAACGAUACGACACCGAAAAGGAUUUCAUUCUGGUAGAUGCACGGAUGCAUCGCGAUGACUUCUUAGACGAGGUAAUCCUUGCCGAUCCACGAGCGUUCCUAGGUAAUCAGAAACCGCGUUUACAUAAGAUUGGCGCUUUUACAAAGGCAAACAGGAAACCGAGCAGAUCAUUGCAAUACGAAUAGCUUUAGAUACAACGAGUAAUUGUUUCAGCUGUAGAUACGUAGAUGAUUUCGAAAGGCACCAGUGGCCGAUCGAGACGAAAUUUGGUGGGUAUCGUGAGACGAGAUAGUAAUUAAACGUUGUACAAUUAGAAGUGAAAUAUAAAAUCUUAACUUCAAAAUGCAUCAAGUCAUGAAUUCGAACGAUAUAGAUCUCUACAUCUCUGACAGACGACCACAGAAAAGUAUAAGUCAGAAUUAUUAAUUCCGCAAGGAAGCAUUUAUACUACUCAAAGUGCAAUGUAAGCUUAGCUAUUAUAUUUUGGAUAUACCGUUAGAAUCUCGGAAAAAUUGAAAUUGACUCGUAUUAAAUAGAAUCAUAAAAAAAAGAAAGUAAUGUAGAAAAUACUAGCGUACUUAUCCUGUUGACCAAAAUUUGACUUAUAUAACUUCUCAUCAGAGAUAUAGGAAAUUGAUAUCGAAUUUAAGGUUUUAUAUUUCAGGUCUUCUAUCUGGUACAAUGAUACCUACCAAAUUUCGUCCCGAUCUGCAUUGAAAAUAAUAUCCAUUGUUUCGUCCUGCUUUUCUAACGAAGAAAGCUCUUCGAAUCCCGCGUGCUUUCAAGACUUUAUAUUAAUGUUAAUUUCGAGCCAAACUGCCCCUUCCUGAUCUUUUGUUUCGAUACAGCACACGGAGAGUAGGGUACACUUUAUAUACCUGUAGACAAAAUACAUGUAAAACGUGAUAUAAAAAAAGACUGCGUAAUAUUCCUGACGGAUUAAAUUUCUACAUGUUACGCGAAUACCUUGGCUCCGAUGUCUAAAUCGCACGCUAUCGACGCGCCUAUGGAAUUUCCAGCUCGAGUUAUGCCAUCCAUAUACUACGUCAAGGUGGGAUUUUUGAUGUAUAUAUUUGACGUAAAUACGACAGAAAAUCGUUCAAAACAUAUUUCUCCGACGUAUUGGCGUACUAGCGUCUGUUUCUCUGGUAGGAAAUCCUUACGCGUAGAACUAUGUCUAACCCAAAUAAUUAACAUGUGCGUUCAGGCUCAUACAUCUGACGGUUCUAAAAAUCCCACCUUUAAAUAACCAGCUUCUCACCAGUGUUAAAUGAUUAACCCUUUCGCUAUCGCGUGUUACACAUAUACGACGCACUAGUUGCCUUUCAUAGCCUCACCGUUACACGUAUGUCACACAUUCUAAAAGCCGUUUGGAUUGUCUAUUUGUUAUCUUUUAUCACUAUAUAUGUAAAAAUAUAUGUUGUAUUAUGUAAGAAGUUGAAAAUUCGAAAUUUGUACUGCGUACAGAGGCUUCUUCAAUCGGCAAUAACGAAAGCUUCUGUUAACGAUAACUAUAAUAUAGGUAUAAUGUACUUUGCA